CCCAUUGCAAUCCAUGGGAGUCUUUCCUUCGACUUAAACGGGCUGUGGAUGGGGCCCAGGAUUUGUUUAAUUUGACAUUUGUGAAGCACUUUGGGAUCCACAGUUUCAGUAUAAAUGCCACAUAGCUUGCCAAAGUCAUCCGUGCUAUGGCAUUAUUCAUUUCAGUGGAAUUACACCAGGGACUGAUUUGAGCCAUUAAUUUCAAAUUGUUUUGUUUAUGUCAAGUGCCAUCAAAAUGAAUUAGAGGUCUAGCACACUCAUUUCGUACACCACCAUAACUCAGGUCAGUGUAUAUCUGUACGAGUUUCAGGUCAAUGUGUUGCUCAAUGCUGGUGCCUCACUGAAGAGUGGUAUUUGGCUUUGCUCUCCUCAGACAUCAGACAAAUACUGUACUGUGGGAUUUCUUUGCUGACCAGACAGUUACUACACGGAACAGAGAAUCAACCAAGGAAUGUGGAGUUUCCAAAUGUAGGUCCUAAAAUUCCUGCCCUGAUUCCUGCCAAUGAAGAUUUAAUUUUUCAAAAAAGGAAACUAAUGUGGGAACCAGAGAGCAGUGGGCAUUACAUCUUUGUUUGAAGAGUCAGCCUGGCCAGAGGUCAGCAAGGCCGUCAAUACCCUUGUUCAGCUAAAAUAAGGGAUGUUACUUCUGAUUUACACCACUGGCAAGUCGGGUUGUCGGGAUAAUUCUCAAAACCAAAGCAACACUUGAGAAUAAGGAGAUGGGCAUGAUGACGCAGGAGCAAAGUAAAACCCUUUACAAAGAAGGGGCUUCAGUG